CCCUUGGCCUUCAAAACAAAACCAUUCACCCCACUUUCUUUUCUCGUUCACAGCUUGGCUUCCCUUUAGCCAAAGCUUGAUCCUUCAAGCCUUUUAAGGUAGCAUACUUUGGCCAAAAUUGGAAGAAACAUGAGCGAUAAAAAAGGAAGCACUUCAAACCAUGGCUUGAAUUUGAACAUACCCCCACCAAGGGUUGCCAAUCAGAUACCUGAUUCACCAACUCGAUUACCCAUAGCACCACCAACAUCACCAUCAAGCUCAUGUGUGUCCAGCGAACUAAGCCAAGAUGACAACAGUAGCAGCAACAACAACAACAACAACCGCGGCUGCACUCGGAGCCCUGAAGACAUUUCCAUGGUGCUAGUAGGGUGUUCUCGCUGCCUUAUGUAUAUGAUGGUCAAUGAGGGUGAACCCAAGUGCCCCAAAUGCAAAAGCACCACUUUGAUUCAUUUUCUUAAUUACAACAACAUCCCAUAAGGAGGGGACACAGUGCUAUGCUACCUUGCUGCGAUUUCUGCAUUUUGUGCAGCAAGUAGGAUAAGUUAGCUUUUAAAAAAAAGGAAUCUCCUUUUUAGGACAUUUCUUUUAUCUUAUGUUUUCUAUCUUUUUCCUAAACCUUUCUUUAUGAGUUGUGCUACUUGCGCUCCACUUUUUACCUUUAUCUCCUCUUCUUAGUAAGGAAAUCACAAAAGAGUUUAAGUGUGAGUAGCACUACAUGUCAGGGAGGUUACUCUUAAUAAAUGGUUGUCUCACCAAGUUUACCAUCUUAAAUAUUAGGUUAGGAAAUUUCCUCCAUCAGUAUGGAUAAUUAACAUAUCAUGUAAACCUGAAUAUAUAAAAUAAGAGAAUGAAUCGCAAGGUAUUUCAAUUAUCUAUC